GUGGAGUUUCAGCGAGUUCAUAUACGGUGGAGAUGAGUUGCACGUAUAUGACGAGUUGUGUUGCUGUUGGAUAGGAGGUGUCGUUUGGUAAGUUGCGUCACCAACGACAAAGAAAAAGAUGUGAAGGUGUGACGGGUGAAAAGAUGUGUCUCCCCGUGUGCAAAAAGAAACCGAUGUGAGGAUGAAGAUCAACGUGAAGGUGGACGCGCACCAGUUAAGUCGAGUUCCUGCAUGAGGCUAUGCGUUUAGUCGGCAUGUAGCACGCUAAGAUGUGUCAGCGUGACUGAUAGUCUGAAUAAUCGUUGGUUCCAGUCUGCAAGUCAGUAUGAAAAAGAAAAGAUGGUGGUGAAGUGGUGGCCAUGAAGAGAGAAGUUGUGGUCCGGUUAGUCACGUCACCGGAGGCAACCGGCGUGACAAGCUGAAGAGAUGGUCGUCUGUGUAUUUGGUAAGUAAAGAAUCGGAUGUUUGGAUUAGGGGGUGAUUGUUAGGUAAUUCAAACAAUACCCAGUUUAGUUUUGAUGAAUUUACUACUAAGUGGUCACAUAUGUGAUAAUAGUUGUGUUGAGUCAGAUAUAUAUAGUACUAGUCCAUGUGCUAGUAGGUUUGGGUAGCUAAGUUUAGUAAAGGUGUGAUCAGCGUUGCCGGGUAUUUAGAUUAGGAAAAGGCAACGUGUCUUAGUUUGUGUUAGAGUAAAAGUACUAGUCGUGUUCGGUUCAGAGUGCAGAACAAGUACAAGUCGGUUUGAGGUCCUGGGUCGGUUGGUGCAUAUAUAUAUAUGCACAACUAUUGCGUGAGUUUAUUGUAUCAAGGAGAGAAAAGGAGAAAAGCAAUAAAGAGGAAAACAAGGGCACGACAAGGGCCCUUGGCUAUAAGUUUUGUGUGUGCGUAUGUUCAUCGUAUUUGAUGUGAUCGAUCCUGUGGGAGAAUUUCCAACAAUUGGCAUCAGAGCAAGGUCGAUUUCAAGCCGCGCUUGCCCCGGGGUGGCGACCCGACUAGCGCCUCGGGGUGGGCGAUAUAGUCGCUGGGUGGUGCAGCGACGAGGGGCGGGUGAUAUAGUCGUUGGGUGGUGCAACGACGAGGAAAGAGCGGGCGAUACGGUCGCUUGGUGGAGCAACGACGUGGAGGAUCGGGCGGUAGUCGUUCCGCGGAUGGACGACGAGAAGGCGGUGACGAUGCCGUCGCAAGCGAGGCGACAUGUGAUUGUCGUUCGGCAGAACAACCAGGAGGAGGGCGACAGGCUGUCGUCGACAAUGCGUUGGUGAUCAUUGAUGGUUAUGGAGAUGUCGAAGUUGCAACACCGAGGAAAUCAUCGAGAUCAUCGUUGGGGGGUGCGAGGAAGAGGCGACAAAGUUGCGAGCUGUCGUCAAGGUGUGUGCACAUGAGUUCUUGUAAGGAGCGUCCAAGAGUUCAAGUGUGUGAGUUUUCUGCUGCAGUUGAGAUGCGUCACUGGCGGAGGAGAAUUGCGGGUGAGAGCGGGCGGAAAAAGGAAUUCGUGCCUUGAGUUUCCAUUCGUGGUGGUGGAGUUCCAGCGAGUUCAUAUACGGUGGAGAUGAGUUGCACGUAUAUGACGAGUUGUGUUGCUGUUGGAUAGGAGGUGUCGUUUGAUAAGUUGCGUCACCAACGACAAAGAAAAAGAUGUGAAGGUGUGACGGGUGAAAAGAUGUGUCUCCCCGUGUGCAAAAAGAAACCGAUGUGAGGAUGAAGAUCAACGUGAAGGUGGACGCGCACCAGUUAAGUCGAGUUCCUGCAUGAGGCUAUGCGUUUAGUCGGCAUGUAGCACGCUAAGAUGUGUCAGCGUGACUGGUAGUCCGAAUAAUCGUUGGUUCCAGUCUGCAAGUCAGUAUGAAAAAGAAAAGAUGGUGG
rnacentral:lncRNA from 1 species